GUUAGGACUAGUAACAGGGAUGUUGUGGUGUUGGUGUAGGUUAGGACUAGUAACAGGGAUGUUGUAGUGUUUGUGGAGGUUAGGACUAGUAACAGGGUUAAUGAGCCAUGGUGGUGUUGAUGUUGUCUCUAUGGAAGUGCUGCCCUGGAAGUGCAAGGUAGUCAUCCAGUGUUGUAGACCCAGCCGUGCAUUUCUCUCUCUGUCUGUGUCUCUCUCUCGUUCUUUGUCGCUCUCUCUCGCUCGCUCAAUCACUACUCCUCCUCUCUCUCUCCCCUUCAUCUCUCUCUUCAUCUGUCUCUCGGUCUUUCCCUCCAUCUCUCUCUCUGUGUUAGUGAUUACAUCACUCACUCACUCUCUCUCUCUCUCUCUCUCUCUCUGUCUCUCUCUCUCUCUCUCACCCUCUCUGUCUCUCUCUCUCUUGCAUAACCGCCAGCUUUGUUUGCUCCAGCUGAGGACUAAUCUUUCCCGCGAGACAGACUGAAGGAACAAGGGAGAGGAGGAGAGCAGGACAAGCCAACCUUUAUAACCUGACUGGACGCUCUGCCUCGUUAAUUCAAUCAGUCCACCAAUUAAUGGGCUUUAGAGCAGAGCCCUGUUUACAACCACCGUGACCUGUGUGUUUAUGGAGCGGUGUUUUUAAUCUGUGUGUGUGUGUGUGUGUGUGUGUGUGUGUGUGUGUG
rnacentral:lncRNA from 1 species